AGAGUUUGAUCCUGGCUCAGAUUGAACGCUGGCGGCAUGGCUAAAACAUGCAAGUCGAACGCGAAAGCACCUUCGGGUGCGAGUAGAGUGGCGAAAGGGCGAGUAAUGCAUUCCUUACGUACCCCCAGGUGAAGGAUAGUGUUGGGAAACCGGCAGUAAUACUUCAUAAUCCGGAAACGGCAAAGGCUUGCUGCCUGGGGAUCGGGGAAUGUCCUAUCAGCUUGUUGGUGAGGUAAAGGCUCACCAAGGCGAAGACGGGUAGCGGGUGUGAGAGCAUGACCCGCCGCAUCGGGACUGAGACACUGCCCGGACUCCUACGGGAGGCUGCAGUAACGAAUAUUCCGCAAUGCGCGAAAGCGUGACGGAGCAAUGCCGCGUGUAGGAUGAAGCCCCUUGGGGUGUAAACUACUGUCAGGGGUUAGGAAGUUCUGACCAGCCCCAGAGGAAGGACCGGCUAACUCUGUGCCAGCAGCCGCGGUAAUACAGAGGGUCCAAGCGUUAAUCGGAAUCACUGGGCUUAAAGCGUACGCAGGCGGACUGGCAAGUACCUUGUGAAAUCCCACGGCUCAACCGUGGAAUUGCUCGGUAGACUGCUAGUCUUGAACCCGGCAGGGGCUACUAGAACGUUAGGUGGAGCGGUGAAAUGCGUAGAUAUCUAACGGAAUACCAAUGGAGAAGUCAGGUAGCUGGGCCGGUGUUGACGCUCAUGUACGAAAGCGUGGGUAGCGAACGGGAUUAGAUACCCCGGUAGUCCACGCCCUAAACGAUGUGCACUAGAUGUGGAGGUUUUGACGCCAUCACGGUCGAAGCAAAAGUGUUAAGUGCACCGCCUGGGGAGUACGGUCGCAAGGCUAAAACUCAAAGGAAUUGACGGGGGCUCACACAAGCGGUGGAGCAUGUGGCUUAAUUCGAAGCAACGCGAAGAACCUUAUCCAGGGCUUGACAUGCACGGAUUAGCUUCCCGAAAGGGAAGUGACGCGUUUACGUGGAACGUGCACAGGUGCUGCAUGGCUGUCGUCAGCUCGUGCUGUGAAGUGUCGGGUUAAGUCCCUUAACGAGCGAAACCCCUGUCGUUAGUUGCCAGCGAGUCAUGUCGGGGACUCUAACGAGACUGCCGGUGUCAAACCGGAGGAAGGUGGGGAUGACGUCAAGUCCUCAUGGCCUUUAUGGCCAGGGCUACACACGUACUACAAUGGCCGGUACAAAGGGCAGCGAACUUGCGAGAGUAAGCGAAUCCCGUAAAGCCGGUCUCAGUCCGGAUUGGAGUCUGCAACUCGACUCCAUGAAGUUGGAAUCGCUAGUAAUCGUGGAUCAGCAUGCCACGGUGAAUACGUUCCCGGGCCUUGUACACACCGCCCGUCACACCACGGGAGUUGGUUGUUCCAGAAGCAGUUGAGCUAACCUUUUUGGAGGCAGGCUGCCAAGGAAUGGCUGGUAACUGGGGUGAAGUCGUAACAAGGUAGCCCUAGGGGAACCUGCGGCUGGAUCACCUCCUU
rnacentral:rRNA from 1 species